rnacentral:rRNA from 1 species
CCCCGGGCUCAACCUGGGAACUGCGUUCUGAACUGGGUGACUAGAGUGUGUCAGAGGGAGGUAGANUUCCACGUGUAGCAGUGAAAUGCGUAGAGAUGUGGAGGAAUACCGAUGGCGAAGGCAGCCUCCUGGGAUAACACUGACGUUCAUGCCCGAAAGCGUGGGUAGCAAACAGGAUUAGAUACCCUGGUAGUCCACGCCCUAAACGAUGUCGAUUAGCUGUUGGGCAGCAUGACUGCUUAGUAGCGAAGCUAACGCGUGAAAUCGACCGCCUGGGGAGUACGGUCGCAAGAUUAAAACUCAAAGGAAUUGACGGGGACCCGCACAAGCGGUGGAUGAUGUGGAUUAAUUCGAUGCAACGCGAAGAACCUUACCUGGUCUUGACAUGUACGGAACCCUCCAGAGACGGAGGAGUGCCUUCGGGAGCCGUAACACAGGUGCUGCAUGGCUGUCGUCAGCUCGUGUCGUGAGAUGUUGGGUUAAGUCCCGCAACGAGCGCAACCCUUGUCAUUAGUUGCCAUCAUUAAGUUGGGCACUCUAAUGAGACUGCCGGUGACAAGCCGGAGGAAGGUGGGGAUGACGUCAAGUCCUCAUGGCCCUUAUGACCAGGGCUUCACACGUCAUACAAUGGUCGGUACAGAGGGUAGCCAAGCCGCGAGGCGGAGCCAAUCUCACAAAACCGAUCGUAGUCCGGAUUGCACUCUGCAACUCGAGUGCAUGAAGUCGGAAUCGCUAGUAAUCGCAGGUCAGCAUACUGCGGUGAAUACGUUCCCGGGUCUUGUACACACCGCCCGUCACACCAUGGGAGUGGGGGAUACCAGAA